UACGGAGGGUGCAAGCGUUGCUCGGAAUUACUGGGCGUAAAGCGCGUGUAGGCGGUUUCGUGUGUCUGAUGUGAAAUCCCCGGGCUCAACCCGGGAAGUGCAUUGGAAACUGCGAGACUAGAGUCCCGGAGAGGAAGGUGGAAUUCCAGGUGUAGCGGUGAAAUGCGUAGAUAUCUGGAAGAACACCGGUGGCGAAGGCGGCCUUCUGGACGGACACUGACGCUGAGGCGCGAAAGCGUGGGGAGCAAACAGG
rnacentral:rRNA from 1 species